rnacentral:rRNA from 1 species
GUGCCAGCAGCCGCGGUAAAACGUAGGACGCAAGCGUUAUCCGGAAUUACUGGGCGUAAAGCGCGUGUAGGCGGAUGAUUAAGUUACUGGUGAAAGCACCGGGCUAAACUCGGUGAGGUCCGGUAAGACUGGUCAUCUAGAGGGGGUCAGAGGGGUGCGGAAUUCCGGGUGUAGUGGUGAAAUGCGUAGAGAUCCGGAGGAACACCAGAGGCGAAGGCGGCACCCUGGGACCAACCUGACGCUGAGACGCGAAAGCAUGGGGAGCGAACGGGAUUAGAUACCCCGGUAGUCC